rnacentral:rRNA from 1 species
GUGGGGAAUAUUGGACAAUGGGCGAAAGCCUGAUCCAGCCAUGCCGCGUGAACGAUGAAGGCCUUCGGGUUGUAAAGUUCUUUAGCCGAUGAUUAUAAUGACUGUAGUCGGAAAAUAAGCCCCGGCUAACUUCGUGCCAGCAGCCGCGGUAAUACGAAGGGGGCGAGCGUUAUUCGGAAUCACUGGGCGUAAAGCGUGCGUAGGCGGCUUUGCAAGUUGGGAGUGAAAGCCCAGGGCUCAACCCUGGAAUUGCUCUCAAAACUGCAAGGCUCGAAUUCGGGAGAGGAUAGAGGAAUUGUCAGUGUAGCAGUGAAAUGCGUAGAUAUUGACAGGAACACCAGUGGCGUAAGCGGCUAUCUGGACCGAUAUUGACGCUGAGGCACGAAAGCGUGGGGAGCAAACAGGAUUAGAUACCCUAGUAGUCC